CGCAGAACUACAUAUGUCGACAACUCUUUGGUUCUUUCGAUCACCAUUUGUUACAGCCUUUUGCAUUAAAAGUGUUGUUGGAAUUUGGAAAUGUUUUCAUCUAAACAAAUGAUGAACCAAGAACUUUUCGUUGCGGUGGAGCUAGAUGACAUAGAGACAGUCACUCGUUUGAUUGCAAGAGGUGCAGACGCUAAUACACGUGGUGGGAUACAUAAUAGAAUUUGACUGUUCUGUUCGAAGCAUUUUAUAAUAAAAACAAGGAGAUGGUUGAGCUGCUAUUAGAAAGUGGAUCAGACGUGAAUGAGACUGAUAACAAAUUUGGAAUGACAGUUUUGAUGCUGGCAGCAGAGACAGGAAAUGUAAAAAUGGUUGAUUUACUCAUUAAACAUCAUGCAGAUGUGUUGAAGAAGAAUACAGUG